ensembl:lncRNA
AUGACCGCGCGCGCGUCUCUCCUCGCGUUAAACGACAACGGGAGCCUCCAAACGGAUUUACGAGAGAAAACACUGUUGAUUCCUGCGUCCGCGGACGGAGCUGCUCCGGGGAAAUGCAGAGACACGGAGGCGAGCGUCAGCAGCGAUAGAACGCGCAGGUGGGAUGUCGUGAAUCUGUCGGGCGAGUCAGGUGCCGAUGGGAGCUGCUGCAGCAUCAUGAGCUGCCAUGAUGCCGGAGGGCGCCGGCGUUACGAGGACUCGGAGUUCACGUUGCACGUGUAUCCCGGCGCUCUGUCCGAGGGCACCAUCUACUGCCCCGUCUCGGCACGGAAGGUGACGUCGGCAGCGGAGGUCAUCGAGCGCGUCAUCGAGCGACUGCAGCUGGACCGCGCGCGCUUCUACGUGCUCGCCGAGGUCAAGGAGUUCGGCGGCGAGGAAUGGAUCCUGAACCCCUGCGACUGUCCCGUACAGCGCAUGAUGCUGUGGCCGCGCAUGGCGCUGGAGAACCGGCUGGCCGGAGACGAUUACCGCUUUCUGCUGCGCGAGAAGGAUCUGGAUGGAUCCAUCCUCUAUGGAAACCUGCAGAUGUGGCUCCGCGUAACUGAGGAGCGGCGGCGGAUGGUGGAGCGUGGACUCCUCCCGCAGCCUCCGUACGUCGACGAUCUCUGCGCGCUGCCUGAUCUAAACGAACGCACUUUGCUGGAGAACUUGCGUGGACGCUUUCGGCAGGAGAAGAUUUACACGUACGUCGGCGGGAUCCUGAUCGUCGUCAACCCCUUCAAGUUCCUGCCCAUCUAUAACCCCAAAUACGUUAAGAUGUACGAUAAGCAGCGGCUGGGGAAGCUGGAGCCGCACAUUUACGCGGUGGCUGACGCGGCGUAUCACGCCAUGCUGCAGAGGAGGAGGAACCAGUGCAUCGUGAUCUCGGGAGAGAGCGGAUCAGGAAAGACGCAGAGCACCAACUUCCUCAUCCACCACCUGACAGCGCUCAGCCAGAAGGGCUUUGCCAGCGGCGUGGAGCAGAUCAUCCUCGGGGCCGGACCUGUGCUGGAGGCUUUUGGAAAUGCCAAAACGGCCCAUAACAAUAAUUCCAGCCGCUUUGGCAAGUUUAUUCAAGUCAACUAUCAGGAGAGCGGGACUGUGAGAGGAGCUUAUGUGGAGAAGUAUCUUCUGGAAAAAUCCCGACUGGUUUAUCAGGAGCACAAUGAGAGGAACUAUCAUGUGUUUUACUACCUGCUGGCUGGAGCGAGUGAAGAAGAAAGAAAAACAUUUCACCUCCUUAAACCAGAGGAGUAUCAUUACCUGAACCAGAUAACAAAGAAAGUCCACAGACAGCACUGGGGAAAUUACUGUGAGACCGAGCUGGACUGUUUCACGGUGGAGGGUGAAGACCUGAAGCAUGACUUUGAGCGACUGCAGCUGGCCAUGGAGAUGGUGGGCUUCCUGCCGACCACCAGAAAACAAAUCUUUUCUUUACUGUCUGCGAUUCUUCUCCUGGGAAAUAUCCGUUACAAGAAGAAGACGUUCAGAGACGACUCCAUCGAUAUCAGCAACCCGGAGGUGCUUCCUAUCGUCUCUGAACUGCUGGAGGUGAAGGAGGAGAUGCUUUUCGAGGCUCUGACCACACGAAAGACGGUGACGGUGGGCGAGAGGUUGAUCGUGCCGUACAAACUGGCCGAGGCGGGGACGGUGAGGGACUCGAUGGCCAAAUCUCUGUACGGCGCUUUGUUCGACUGGAUCGUCUUCCGCACAAACCACGCACUGCUCUACAACAAAGACCUGGAGGAUUCAGACAAGAUCCUGUCCAUCGGUGUGCUAGACAUCUUUGGCUUUGAGGACUACGAGAACAACAGCUUCGAGCAGUUCUGCAUCAACUUCGCCAACGAGACGCUGCAGCAUUACUUCAACCAGCACGUCUUCAAGCUGGAGCAGGGUGCCAUUAUUAGUGGCUACACACUGUAUGUAUACAGUAUAGUGUGUAUGCAUGUGCUGUCUAUGACAUGUCUGUUGUGUCUGCAGGACUUCAGGGAGAAGAACACGGAUCACAUGCGUCCAGAUAUCGUGGCUCUGCUGAAGAGCAGCCGGAACGCUUUCAUCUGUGGCCUGAUGGGAAUCGAUCCGGUGGCCACCUUCCGCUGGGCCGUGAUCCGGGCUUAUUUCCGAGCACACGUCGCCUUCAGAGAGGCCGGGAAACGGCACAAGGAGAAGAAGACGACGAAGACGAGCUCUGAUGGUCCGGUUCAGAAUCAGAAAAGUGUGGACAGCUUCAGUUUCCUGCAUCAUCCUGUUCACCAGCGGAGCCUUGAGAUCCUGCAGCGAUGCAAAGAUGACAAAUACAGUAAGAUGACAGAAAUAACACACUUCAGCAGAUCUACAGUCAUCCAAAACAAUCGCGUCUCCUCGCUCUCGUCUCAUGAGGAGGAGGGCAUCUUCGUGAACUCGGGGGAUAAUAAGCUGCUGGAGCGAGCGCAGGGCAUCCUGAUUCCUGUCCCGUGUGUGACGCAGGUGUCUCUGAAUAAGCUGAUGGAGACUCUGGGACAGUCGGAGCCGUACUUUGUGAAAUGCAUCCGCUCUAAUGCGGAGAAGCUUCCUCUGCGUUUCAGCGACGUGCUGGUGUUGAGACAGUUACGCUACACCGGGAUGCUGGAGACGGUGAGGAUACGCCGCUCCGGAUACAGCGUCAAAUACAGCUUCCAGGAUUUUGCCCAUCAUUUCCGUGUGCUGUUACCUGCGGGCUUUCACUCCUCACAGACGGGGAUCAGACAGUUCCUGCAGAGCGUCGACCUCGAGCCCAACGGACAUCAAGUGGGCAGAAGCACGGUGUUCCUGCGGGAGCGUCUGCGGCAGCGUCUGCAGGAGCAGCUUCAUCAGGAGGUGUUGAGGAGGAUCGUGUGUCUGCAGAGGAGCUUCAGGACGCAGCAGGAGAGGAGACGCUUCUGCAGACAGAGACGAGCCGCUACACUCAUACAGGUACACACUGCCUUUCAGGCGUGUGUGACUCGCGCUGACGCAGAGCUCCAGCAGGGGGCGGCGGUGUGUCUGCAGGCGGCCUGGAGAGGCUUCAGAGAGCGCCAGCUGUUCCAGCGGCGGAGGAGAGCGGCGCUGAUCAUCCAGACGAGCUGGAGGAGAGUCCUGCAGACACGACACUCGGCCGCGUGCCUCAUACAGUCCUCCUGGAGGAGCCUCAGACAGAGACGCCGCUUCCUGCAGCAGCGCCGCGCCGCCGUCACGCUACAGGCCGCCUGCAGGGGGCAGCGCGAGCGCCAGAGGGGCAAAUUUGGGUCACGACGUGGAGAGAAAAGCCUCUGUGAAAACACUGUGAGCAAAAGUUUACACGCCCAACAAAACCCAACCGAAGUCCAAGAGGAGAAAGGAGAAACUCAGCCGGCCGAAGCUCCCAGAAGCGUAGACGACAGCACGCUGAAGAGCCGCUCCAAACGUGAAAGCAGGAGACAGCGGGAGCUCCAGCAAGCCACCUUCAGUCUAGAGCUGCUCAAAGUGCGCUCCGCUUCAGUGGACGACGCGCUUCCCGCUCAGAUCCCGCUCUGCACACAUCUUCCCUCGGAGAGCCAAGACAGCUGCGAGCUCCUCGGCGAGCCCGAAGCUCGAGAGCUUUACGUGAGACACCCAUCAGCCAGAAACGAAACCAGAACCAGAUCUGAUAACUGUUUUGUUUCCCAUCUCAAGUCGUCUCAGAAAGAGCAGAAGAGGAUCCAGAAGACCAUGUCGUCAGGGGACCUUGGGAAAAUGGAUUCGCUCAGGAAGUCAAUCUCCCAAACCGACAGCAGGUCAGAUGGGAUUCAGUCCUUCUUUGACAACACUGGCCCCGUCUACAAUGGUUUCUCUCUCGCAGACUCUCCUCAGGGAAGCCGUGAGCCGUCGGAGCGCGGACGCGACAGCAAGGAGAACCGUGAGCCGAUGAUGGGCAUGAUGUCGAUGAAGAGGAGACGCAGUGUGAAGAUCAGUAGCGUGUCUCUAGAAUCGUCCGCCUGGCAGAACGACUCGCUGCACAUCCUCACCAGCACUGCAGACUAUCGCAGCAUGAACGACUUCCUCAUGAAGAAGGUCGAUCUAGAAGCUGAAGACAGUCAGAAGGACACACCUGUGGAUGUGGUUUUCAAGAAGGCGCUGAAAGAAUUUCGCCUCAACAUCUUCAACUCGUACUCUACUGCUCUGGCCAUGGAUGAUGGCAGGAGCAUUCGUUAUAAAGAUCUCCACGCUCUGUUUGAACACAUCUUAGAGAAGAACAUGCGUCUGGAGCAGAGAGACUGGAGCGAGUCGCCGGUUAAAGUCUGGGUCAACACCUUCAAAGUCUUCCUUGAUGAGUUCAUGAUGGAAUACAAGCCAAUGAAUGGAACCAUCAGCAAGGCUCCUAAACCUGAGAGGAAGAAGAGGAGGAAAAAGGAAUCAGACACCGUGGAAGAGCACAUGGGUCACAUCUUUAAAUCCACUCAGUACAGCAUCCCGACCUACUGCGAGUUCUGUUCGUCUCUCAUCUGGAUGAUGGACAAAGCGUGUGUCUGCAAACUCUGUCGCUAUGCAUGUCACAGGAAGUGCUGUCUGAGGAUGACCACCACAUGCAGUAAGAAGUUUGACCCCGAGCUGUCUUCACGGCAGUUUGGAGUAGAGUUGUCUCGUUUAACGAGCGAUGAGAGAGCCGUCCCCCUGGUGGUGGAGAAGCUGAUCAACUACAUCGAGAUGCACGGCCUGUACACCGAGGGCAUCUACAGGAAGUCUGGAUCCACCAAUAAAAUCAAAGAACUCAAGCAGGGGCUGGACACCGAUGCGAACAGCGUGAAUUUAGAUGACUACAACAUCCAUGUGAUCGCCAGCGUGCUGAAGCAGUGGCUGCGUGACCUUCCCAACCCCCUCAUGACCUUUGAACUCUACGAGGAGUUUCUCAGGGCUAUGGGUCUGCAGGAUAAGCGUGAGGUGGUUCAGGGGGUUUAUUCGGUCAUCGAUCAGCUCAGCCGGACUCACCUGAGCACACUGGAGAGACUCAUAUUCCACCUGGUCCGGAUCUCAUUCCAGGAGGAGACGAACCGCAUGUCUUCAAACGCACUGGCCAUCGUGUUUGCACCGUGCAUACUGCGCUGUCCCGACACCACCGACGUAAUUGAAACUUUAUAUCUCACAAUUCAGGAACUGAUCAUCUGCGAGCAGAUGAGGAAAUAUAAAGCCCGUCUGAAGGAUAUCAACACACUGGAGUUUGCCGAGAACAAAGCCAAGAGUCGUCUGACGCACAUCCGGAGAUCUAUGGUGAGAGAUACGACCCUCUCAGAGGAAGAACUGACCUUUGAGAUGCUGGCUCUGGAUCCCAGAGCGUCGGAUGACGAGAUGCUGGAGUCGGAAGCGUCCAUCGGAACUGCAGACAGCUCGGAAAACCUCAUGGAGUCGGAAGGUGCCGCGUCCGAUCAAUGGGAAGCCUCUCGGGUUUCAUUAAAAAAUAUCUUUAUUUGUGACCCUGCAGCACAGAAGCAGUCAUCAGUAGCACAGGUAUAUUUGUAG